CCAAUUUGGGCCAAAUCUCAUAAUAUAAUUACUCAAUUAAAAACAAAAAUAAUUUUAAAGAAUUGCUUAACAAACUGCUUCUGCAGUUCUCAGAAUAUCUGAUAAGUCAUAUUCGCCUCCCAUUACCUCAGGAUUAGAAACAAGAAAAGUUCUAUUUACAGCAGUUUGUACCCUAUAGAAAUGCAUCUGUAUACAUUAGAUGUGAAAACACACAGGCUAUUGAUUUUUUACCUGUAAAAAAAUAAUUUCUGCAUAGAAAUAGCUUCCUUUUACACACCUGUACAACCAUUGUCUCAGUGAUUUUAAGAUUUACAGAGGUAGGGCUUUUUUCUUAUUCCAGCUUUCUUUACAUCCAGCCUCAGAACACAGCUGACACCCAGCAGAGCCCACAAAGGGUGGAGGAAACCAGGAUCUGCCUCACCCUGCACAGCAGCCAGCGACUUCCCUGGGUUCUCAUCGUGGGCACAAUGGCACUGCUCAUAACAUCACGAACCAAACGGUUUGAGCGCACGGCGCUUUGCCAGUUCUCAAGUCCUACUUCAAAGCUUGUCACGUUAGGAGGCCUCAGUUCACCUCUCAGCAAAGUUGGCACAAGAGAAGAACAAACCUGACUGCAACUGAGACAAAAUGACAUAAAAACCACCCCCUGCAACAGCAGGUGCUGAUCCCACACCACACGAAGACCCAACCCCUUCCUCAACCCAGGGGGCCUACAGAGGACAAGCACGAGGGCAAAGCAAUAUAAAUGCCAUAGCCUUCAUGCACCUGGUUGCCACUAGCCUCCUCGCUCAGUCACAGCGCAGCACGCGGGCCGGCGUGCCCAGGGACUGCCGAGCAACCCAGGCCGAUUAAGCUCUUAAGUGAGGCACCUCCGUGAAGAGUCUAAAGUUAGGUUGGAUGAACACGAGCCAAGCUGUUGAACAGAUGGAGUGAAAUCCUCCUCUUGAUAACAGGAACUUUAUAUCACUGCCAUGGAUAAGAAGGGCAGCUAAAAAAAGUCAAGGAGAUGGUUAUAUAAAUUUCAAGAAGGCUUACCAGCAACACUUAAAGGUAAAGAUUUUGAUAGAUCUAGAAUAUUCACUUCCAUCUGAAGACCCUGCACAGCCAAGAAGCAGAAGAUCUGCAACAGAAAGGAGAUCGUAACACUGGAGCUACCAACGCUACAGAACCCUGGGAACGCAAUGACGCAGCACAGAACACGCAAAGCUGGAGCCUGGGCCACACCAAACUCUUUAAAAAAAGUGGCACUUAUUUUCAGUUUUGUGCACAAAGCCAGCUGAGAGGCAUAUGUGAAUAGAAAGAUAAUUAACUACCAGGAGAUAACUAGACAUCUUAUUAAUGCCAAAAAUGCUAACUAAUACAUUCAUUCUUCUUUGCUUACAUGCCUGUAAAUACAAAGCUUAUAGCAGCUUUGACACAAUGUGUUUUUUUUUAACCUUGCUAAUACAUAGUUUCGAAUAUCUGUAAAUUCAUCUUCCUCUUCUUCAAAAUGACCUGUUUUCCUUGUAUUUCACAUGUAACUAAGAUUCAGAAGAUAUGCCUCUCAAUGGAGGAUCCAAUUUUCUUAAUUAGUUGUGAAUAUUUUAGAUGGAGUCAGAUGUGAAAUAUACUGGUAACAUUCAUUUCUGAGCAUCAAAAUCCACAUUCCAUGGCCAUACUAAAAGGAAUAUAUGCUGCAUUAAGUUUUUAGGUUAUGUUUACUUAGUGGAAUAAAGCAACUCUUCCCCUCCUUUAAGUACCUAAUUUUUGGAGGAAAGGAAGCUAUACUAUUUACCAUUUCCCUUGGGAAAGGCAAAUGGAUUAAUUCCUUUGGUCUUUGGUUGUUUCUUCUUCCCCAUCUUUCACCUAUUUGCCUUCAAACUUUCUCGAAAAGGUGUAAUUACUGAGAAACUGCAGAGCUGAAAUUGCCAAGGGAUACCAGUCUGUGAAAGACAAAGCAGCAAAGACUACAUGCAGCCUUAUAAUACCAUUCUCUUACAGCAAAGUAUGGUUAGAAAAAUGACAGUGUGAUAACAGCUUCCCAGAGUAGGGCUGCUUUCAGAGUCACCUUUAGUCAUUUUGGUGACAAAAAUACAUUUUUACUCCUUGUUAUCUCUGCAGAACACAUGCAGUUAGGGGAGCCUGAUCUGCACUGUGACCCAAUUAGUGCAUUCAUCCGGUUGCGCUGCUAAACCCUACAUUCAGCUAUGACUAGAAGAUCCUAGUGAAGAUGACGUGAACAACACUUGACCCCACAGAAUUUAUGUUCCUGAUGAUAAGCAGAGCUAGGCUACAUUUAUUUUGCAGAUCCAAGCAGAAUUUGGAGGGUCAUAGAAAAAAGCGUUCUAAAUUGGACAUAUUUGAGAAAUACUGAGUCACAAGCCUCAAGCUGCACAAGGUCAUUUUUGCAGUUUCUUUUUUUCUAAGCAAAACCUAGAUUUUAUUAUAUAAAGCAGUGUUGGCAACAUGAAGAACAUGCAGUCUUUUUUAGCAAAGCCCUUUGCAGCAGGAAUAUAGUUUUGGUCUUACAGAAGCCUGCAGAUCCUAAUGCUUCUAUUUUAAGAAGAAAAUUGGUUUCAUAUUGCAAAAUAUUUAAUGAAUUUCCUGUUAAAAUGAAAUGAAACAACAAAGUAGUUAUACAAUUUUACUAGUUUAUAUUUCAAUUCAUAAAGUAUACACACUGCAACUAUGCUACCACAAUGUCCACGCAUCUAAUAUUGAUGGAGUUACAGGUUUUGUUUUGUUUUGGUAUUAAACAAUAGAGAUAAUGUAUGCAGUUAAGGAAAAAAGCUUGGACAUAGCAUGUUCUAUUCUGUAGUUACAGAGUACAUUAGCUAGCAUUAGUACAGUAAACAAGAAAAAGGUAGAAAUACAAAAUAAACCAAAUAUCUUUAUAUACAAACCAGUGCCUCUUAUUGUUACCAGCUUAUACUCACACUGCACACAAAAUUUAUCCACUGAUGCAAUAGAUACUUCAGCAUAACACAAACCAUUAUAAAUUAAAAAAAAAUUACAAGGUGCAAACUCCAUUCUACAGCUUUCUGGUGAGAACUCAAGACAAUCCAAAGAAUAAGAAAUCCAAGCACGUUUAGCACCUAUUAGUGCAACUGCAUCGAGCGUGGAAAAUGACCUACACAACCUCUGAACAUGUUAACAGGGAAGCCAGUUGGACAGCUAUAGAUGCUCGCAGCUACACUCACGCAGUGAUUUUUGCCUCAUAUAUAUCUCAGUUUAUUGUUUCUUUGUCCCAUUCAUACCUAUGUGCAAAACUAAAUCCUGGAAGCUUUCUCAGAGCUUCACAGAAGGCCUGCUACAGCCAGUUAAAAACAAAACAAAACAAAACAUCAACAACAACAAAACAACAAAAACAAAACAAAAACGGACAAAAAGAACAAACAAAAAGACUUAAUUGUCAGACCAUCCACAUAAUUAGUACUUAUUAGCAGUUCUGGUGUUGGGGAUUUUAACGCUGUUGAUAUGUGGAUCAAACAAUAUGACACAGAAGUGAAACGGAAAUUUGCCAAGAAUUCCGAUUAUUCUUGUCUAGCACUUAGACAAGGCUCCCAACCUCAGGUUGUGAAUUUGUUUGGCAGUCCAUGCCAAAAAAAAAAAAAA